rnacentral:rRNA from 1 species
GACGAACGCUGGCGGCGUGCCUAAUACAUGCAAGUUGAGCGCUGAAGGUUGGUACUUGUACCAACUGGAUGAGCAGCGAACGGGUGAGUAACGCGUGGGGAAUCUGCCUUUGAGCGGGGGACAACAUUUGGAAACGAAUGCUAAUACCGCAUAAAAACUUUAAACACAAGUUUUAAGUUUGAAAGAUGCAAUUGCAUCACUCAAAGAUGAUCCCGCGUUGUAUUAGCUAGUUGGUGAGGUAAAGGCUCACCAAGGCGAUGAUACAUAGCCGACCUGAGAGGGUGAUCGGCCACAUUGGGACUGAGACACGGCCCAAACUCCUACGGGAGGCAGCAGUAGGGAAUCUUCGGCAAUGGACGAAAGUCUGACCGAGCAACGCCGCGUGAGUGAAGAAGGGUGUCGGAUCGUAAAACUCUGUUGGUAGAGAAGAACGUUGGUGAGAGUGGAAAGCUCAUCAAGUGGCGGUAACUACCCAGAAAGGGACGGCUAACUACGUG